rnacentral:rRNA from 1 species
CCUACGGGCGGCAGCAGUGGGGAAUAUUGCACAAUGGGGGAAACCCUGAUGCAGCAACGCCGCGUGAGUGAAGAAGUAUCUCGGUACGUAAAGCUCGAUCAGCAGGGAAGAAAAUGACGGUAACUGACUAAGAAGCCACGGCGAACGACGUGCCAGCAGCCGCGGUAAUACGUCGGGGGCAAGCGUUAUCCGGAUUUACUGGGUGGCAAGGGAGCGUAGACGGGCGCACAAGUAUGGAGUGAAAUCCCGGUGCUUAACCCCGGAACUGCUUGGGAAACGGUGCGGCUGCAGUGCAGGAGGGGUGAGCGGACUUCCUCUUGUAGCGGUGAACUGCGUCGUUCUUCG